GAUGAACGCUGGCGGCGUGCCUAAUACAUGCAAGUCGAGCGAACGGACGAGAAGCUUGCUUUUCUGAUGUUAGCGGCGGACGGGUGAGUAACACGUGGAUAACCUACCUAUAAGACUGGGAUAACUUCGGGAAACCGGAGCUAAUACCGGAUAAUAUUUUGAACCGCAUGGUUCAAAAGUGAAAGACGGUCUUGCUGUCACUUAUAGAUGGAUCCGCGCUGCAUUAGCUAGUUGGUAAGGUAACGGCUUACCAAGGCAACGAUGCGUAGCCGACCUGAGAGGGUGAUCGGCCACACUGGAACUGAGACACGGUCCAGACUCCUACGGGAGGCAGCAGUAGGGAAUCUUCCGCAAUGGGCGAAAGCCUGACGGAGCAACGCCGCGUGAGUGAUGAAGGUCUUCGGAUCGUAAAGCUCUGUUAUUAGGGAAGAACAUAUGUGUAAGUAACUGUGCACAUCUUGACGGUACCUAAUCAGAAAGCCACGGCUAACUACGUG
rnacentral:rRNA from 1 species